rnacentral:rRNA from 1 species
ACCUGAAACCGUGUACGUACAAGCAGUGGGAGCCUCUUUUAUGGGGUGACUGCGUACCUUUUGUAUAAUGGGUCAGCGACUUAUAUUCUGUAGCAAGGUUAACCGAAUAGGGGAGCCGAAGGGAAACCGAGUCUUAACCGGGCGUUAAGUUGCAGGGUAUAGACCCGAAACCCGGUGAUCUAGCCAUGGGCAGGUUGAAGGUUGGGUAACACUAACUGGAGGACCGAACCGACUAAUGUUGAAAAAUUAGCGGAUGACUUGUGGCUGGGGGUGAAAGGCCAAUCAAACCGGGAGAUAGCUGGUUCUCCCCGAAAGCUAUUUAGGUAGCGCCUCGUGAAUUCAUCUCCGGGGGUAGAGCACUGUUUCGGCAAGGGGGUCAUCCCGACUUACCAACCCGAUGCAAACUGCGAAUACCGGAGAAUGUUAUCACGGGAGACACACGGCGGGUGCUAACGUCCGUCGUGAAGAGGGAAACAACCCAGACCGCCAGCUAAGGUCCCAAAGUCAUGGUUAAGUGGGAAACGAUGUGGGAAGGCCCAGACAGCCAGGAUGUUGGCUUAGAAGCAGCCAUCAUUUAAAGAAAGCGUAAUAGCUCACUGGUCGAGUCGGCCUGCGCG